rnacentral:misc_RNA from 1 species
GAAAAUGAAAAAUCAAGAAAAGCUAUGUUAUGAAAAUUAGUAAGCUACUGCUCAAUUUGUACAGUUACAUGACGAAUCUUGUAUGUUUUUUCACAGUAGUCCCUAAUCCUGUUGAGUACUUCAGUAGAGCUGGCUCCAGGCUCAGCUACUACAUGGCAAGACAACACUAACUUCCCUACUGUGAUAGCCCAAAUAUGCAGGUCAUGAAUAUCUUGUACUCCUUCUAUACACUUUAGACUACUCUCCACCCCGCAAACACUCAUCUGAUGGGGAGUCUUCUCCAUUAGUAUGCUAAAUACGUCCAUAAGCAUGGGUAUGGUUGAGCAUAGAACAAAAGCAGAGAAGACAAGGGUGCAAAUUAGAUCAACCACCAACCAAUCAGGCUUCACCCAUAUAACUACUCCAGCAAACAUCACCCCAACGGAUUGAAUUAGAUCAGCCAUGACAUGUAGAUAAGCUCCUUGGAUAUUUAUGUUUAAUAUUUUUCUUUUUGCUGGAGAACUUGGUAUCAACUUGGUCCCCUCUUCAUUUACCCCACAUAAAUCCUCACCGUCAUGACUGUGAAUGUGAUCAUGAUUAUGAUCAUGGCAAGCAUGAUGAGAGUGAUCAUGACCCAACCAUAUUACCAUGACUAAGUUAAUGAUGAAUCCAAAGGCUGCAAUUGCAAACAUGAGUCCUCCAUUUACCUCUAAAUUUUUGUGAAGAAUUCUGUUCACUGCUUCGUAAAUUAAGAUCCCUGAGAUCACCCAUAUAAGCUGCACAGAUAGAAGAGCACCUAAAACUUCAAGGCGACUGAAUCCAAAACUAUGGUGGGAUGUUGCCUCCCAACCUGAAGCCCAGACUGUGAAAAGAGAGACACAGAAACCAGCUACAUCAGUCAGUAAAUGUGCUGCAUCUGUAAUAACUGCAAGGCUGUUGGCUUUCAGGCCACCGAUGAUUUCUACUGCCAUGACUAUUAAAUAAAAUAUUAUAAGUCCAGAAAGUUUUGUCACCGACUUUGAUCUUUCUUCAGAUUCAAGACUAUCAUUUUCUUGUUUGGAGAAUGCACAAAUGGAAAUGCAAGAAAACUGAGCUGUAACGGGAAAGCCAGCACUUUCUUCAGAUGCUAUGGCCAUCUCAAUAUUCUUCUGGUGUCCCAACUGCAAAAUGGGAACUUCAUCAUCUUCCAUCUGUAAACCGGAUGAAAGAACUGCGAAAAGACUCUGAAGUAAUCGAUCUGCUAACAAGUUCUUAUAAUGAAAGUACAGCGAGUGAUUGCGGUGCUUUCCAUAUUUCCCUUGUUCGACUUCUUGUACAAGAGAGGCCGGCAGCAAAGAACCUUUCAUUCAAGAAAAACGGAAACUCU